rnacentral:rRNA from 1 species
GUGCUUAACACAUGCAAGUCGAACGGAAAGGCCUCUUCGGAGGUACUCGAGUGGCGAACGGGUGAGUAACACGUGGGUAAUCUGCCCUGCACUUCGGGAUAAGCCUGGGAAACUGGGUCUAAUACCGGAUAUGACCACGAGACGCAUGUCCUGUGGUGGAAAGCUUUUGCGGUGUGGGAUGGGCCCGCGGCCUAUCAGCUUGUUGGUGGGGUGACGGCCUACCAAGGCGACGACGGGUAGCCGGCCUGAGAGGGUGUCCGGCCACACUGGGACUGAGAUACGGCCCAGACUCCUACGGGAGGCAGCAGUGGGGAAUAUUGCACAAUGGGCGCAAGCCUGAUGCAGCGACGCCGCGUGGGGGAUGACGGCCUUCGGGUUGUAAACCUCUUUCAGCAGGGACGAAGCGCAAGUGACGGUACCUGCAGAAGAAGCACCGGCCAACUACGUGCCAGCAGCCGCGGUAAUACGUAGGGUGCGAGCGUUGUCCGGAAUUACUGGGCGUAAAGAGCUCGUAGGUGGUUUGUCGCGUUGUUCGUGAAAAC